UGCUGCCCACAGCAUGCAGAAGUUCCCCGGCCUGGGAUUGAAUCCACACCACAGAGGUGACAAGGCCAGACCCUUAACCUGCUGAACUACUAGGGAACUUCCGAAACCUUUUGUAAGUCAGUAUUUCUGCUCAACAAAGACAUGCUAUGAAUGGAACUUCUACUGCACGCCCAGCACUACACAAAUGCCAUAUAACAUCAUCACAACAUGGGCAUCAUUAUGGUUAUGAUGCCCAUUCUACAGAUGUGGAAAUUUACUUGGCUUCACACUGAUGUCAAGGGUCAGAGCUAGAAGGAAAAUUCCACAUUCUGUCUCUCAAACUAGCACCUCUCUCCACACACAUACACACCACACUCACACACAUCAGCCGCAUUUAAAGAAAUACUAACUAAGCUUCUACUAAAUGUUUUAUAGUGCAUGGUCACUGAAGAAUAGAAGGACUGGUCAGACUGCACCAUUGCUCUGUAGGCAAUAUGUAAAUAGAGAUAUGAGGCAAUGGUCUAUUAUAGUAAAAUGUCAGUGUUUGAGAUAUAGAAAGAAAUAUCCCGGAAAGCUUACAAAAGGGAGAGUUUUGCAGAGAUAGUAAUUAUAGGAACUGCAUUCCUGGACAGUUCUAGUUUUUAAAUAUUUGAACUAAUGUGCUAAUUUACUUGUCACAUUUCCUAUCACAGUUAUUCGUCCAUAAAAUAUGCUUCUGUGGCUACCAGAGCUGCAUAAAGCCUUGGGGAGGAAGAAAGUCUUAAAGCUGAGCCGUGGUGGCUGGGAAGCAGGUGGGUGGGCUGAGUUGAACACAUGAUGGAUGUGCUUUGGGUUGACGGUGACAAAGAUCGUGCUGUAUUUGGUGAGAAGUCAGGAGAGAGGACAGGUCAGAAUGGUAUGUCUGAUUAGUCUUUGUGGCAUUUGUAAGUUUAUUUUUCCCUCCAAAGGUGAGGCUCAAUAUCAUAGUUUUCCACACAGUCCUUGAGUUGGUCAAGAACAAUGGUCCAGCCUAUUCUAGGAUCAUAUAAAUAAAUGGCAUUGAGAUAGGUCUUUGCUUUUACAGACACCUAGCCCUUUAAGUGCUGAAUUGGCACCAUUGCCACAUACAUCUUUUUCUAGCUUUGUUAAUCUUAUUUUCAGCUUCUGCAAAGAGCAGUAUAUCCAAGGUACAAUCAUUAAUUGAAUAUGAUUCAAUCUGGUCCCAUCUUUAAUAAGAAACCAAAGAAGGAAAUUCAAUUAGGCUCACCCUUUCCAUUUCAAAAGAUCAAGUCCUCCCCUUUCACAGUUAAAAUUAUGAAAGAUUAUCUUCUUUGUGGAAGGCUACAGGAAAAUUUGGAUUCCUGUCAAAUAUUUAGUGUAAUAUCCCAGGAUCGGGAUUAAUAUAGCCUUUCAGCAGCUUGCUCCGAAUUUCUGUCAAUGUAAUCUCUCCUUUGGAAGGUUUUGAAUAAAAGGCAUUCUCUACUCUUGCGUGACUCAAAGUAUUCAGCAGAAAUGGCAGUGAGAUCAGUUUCAGGACAACUUCUCAUGUCUUCUGGUCAUGAAAAUUCAGACACCUCAAUCUCAUUCCCAUAGCUUGGUGUGAUCCCCUAACUCCUUAGAGAAAAUACAAAUCAUUGAAACUAGAUUUUAGGUCUGUGUGAAUAUCUUGGAGUUGAUCUAAAAUCACAAACAACAGCAGCAGUAGAAAAACAAAUAGGAUAGAAUAAAAAAAAAAACUAGUCAUCAUUGCUGGAAUAUUGUUAAAUCCUCCUAGAAAAUAAUAUUAUGAAUAUUUACUAUUAUUAUUAUCAGAGUUAAGGUUUGUUUCCUCUACUUUAGGUUCUUGAUACUCUAAGUGCUUUAUUUUCUCAAACGUGUGUCUGUUUGACUCUAAAGACAUUGGCUUUCACCCCUGAUUCUAACCCCCAAAUUAGAUUGUCUUUUCAACCCCAGUUAAUAGGCCCAUUUUGCAAGAAGGAACUAUCUAUAUCCCAUUAUAUUUUAUACAGGGUUAUCUACAAAUCUUUUUUGGGACCUAGAGUUAUGUGUAAAUAACUGGGACUGUUUUGUCCUCCCAAGCUUUAUUUUGCAGUCUGGUGGCAUGAUGGGUUACAAAUAUAAUCAUAAAAGAGUUUACUUAUGCAAAGCUUUCCAUGUCAUUUCAAUGAGUUCUGCCUCAAAGCACUGAUCAAACAGAAACUUUAGUGUCCCCUGGUAUUCCAGCUAAAAAGUUAAAUAUUUGUAAUAGGCAUCUUGAAGUCAUAUUCCCAAUACUGGCAAGAGCAUUCAUUUCUUUUCAUGCCAUGCUGCCAAAGGCUGGCACCCACCAGCACCUGUGGUUCACACUGAAAUCUGAGUCCUGGGUUGGUGUUUUCUUUUCCAUUAAUGGGUUCUACUGAGCAGGCAAGGUGUGGACUUGCAUCUCUGAAUUGCAGAGCAAAGGAAUAACACUGGCUCCAUCAGCAACUCAAGUUACAAAGAUCCCAAGGGAGAACCAGGUUAGAUUCUGCAGUCACAACAUUCUAGAACAGGGCUUUCACAAAGGAUUUUUAAAUGCAGGCGAAUCCCUUCUUCAAGUGAAAUAUUAUGUGUAAGUCCAGCAAGUAAAAUAGAUAAAAUAAUAACGGCCACUGUUUCUUUGGGUUUUUUUCUGUCACAGGUACCAUGCUAAUCUCCCUGCCUACUUUUCCUUAUUAAAUCUCUAGGAUUGUAUGAGUAGGUGCAUUAUUCUCCCUUAUAAAGCUGGCUUAGAGAGUUUCAAUAACUUAUCCAAGUCAUGUGCCCUCCCGGUGGAGGAACACAAUUCCAACGCAGGCAGCCUGACACCUGAGCUCAGAUCCUUGGCCACAAAAAGCAGACCUGCCUUUGUGAGAACAGAUACAGGCUACAGGUGUUCUGAGGAAUCAUCUAGACUUUGGUCCUCACCCACUUGAUGGCCAUCAACAUCUCUAGGGCCCAGAGAGCACACAGAAGUAUGCAAAGUGACAGUAAACUGAGAAACUCAAGUUUACUCUCUAAAUCAUGCACGCGCACACACACACACACACACACACACACACCUAUCUCACAUGUUCUCUAUCUAUUCAUCCAUUGAUGGAUACAAGCUGAUCUCAUACCUUGUCUAUUGUGAAUAAUCCUGUAACAAAUGCAAUGUAUCUCUUUGAGAUAAAACUUUGGGUUUUUCAGAGGACCCUCCUUAAAAGUUGCUUCUGAAGAUGAUAAGGUAGCUUGCCAGUUAUGUAAUAACCUUCUUCCUUCCUUCAUUUUUUUGAGCAUAUAAACUUGUACCAAGAGUUAGGAACUGAAUUGAGCAUUAAGAUUACAACAAAGAAUAGAACUAUGUUACUAGCACCAGUGAUCCCACAGGUAGGGUGACCACCAAUUUACCAUCCAUGUUAGGACAUUCUUGGGAAUAUAAUGGGGCACUAUUAGUAAUUAAGUGGGGACAAGAGGAAUAGGGCACAAGUGUCCUGAGAAAACUAGCUCCUAGGGGAGUGGGCAUUUCAUGCGUAUGGACCCAUGUUGAUAAUGUCUUACUGAUGCACCGAGAGAGAUAUGAACAGGGUGUACUAUGCACAGAGAAGUAGUGUACCCAAGCAGGUUAGGAUGAAACAGGCCUCUCAGAAAGGGGAUGAUGAAGCAGAGUCCUUAAAGAUGAGUAGGCAUUCACAAGGUGAAGCAUUAAGGAUCGGCAGGCUGUGUAAAAAGAGGUCAUGAGCCCAGGGAAGAAACGGCAGGGUGACAGAGGAGAAUUAACAGCAACUGGAGCAAAAGAUGUGAGGCAGAGACUGUUAGACCAUGCAUAGAGCGGCCAGAAAAAGUUAAGGAAUUUGCAUUUCACUUUCUAGAUGCUGAGCAAUCAUUGAAGACAUGUAAGCAGAGUAGAUAGAGGAACAUUGUCAGUGGAGCUGCCUGGUGCUGCUGUAGGGGAGACAAAACCAGAACCAGAGAGAGGAGCAAGGAAAGUGAUUCCCAAGUCUGAUUCCACAGAAGUCACGUGAGGAUCAUUACAAAAUACCAGUAUCUGGGCCCCGCACCAUCCUGAGUAAAACCACAUCUCUUUGGGUGGAUCCAAGCCCUGGUCAUAUUUUUACCUCCCCAUGUGAUUCUAAGAUGCAGCCGUAAGUGAGAAUCCCUGAGCUAGAAGAACAUCAGUUGAAAUAAAGGAAAGAAAGAAUUGAUCAUUUAGAGCAUACAGUGGUAGUUGUAUGCUCUAAAUAAAUGGGUGUAGUGGAUGGAUUUCAAAAAAAAUUUUUUGAAAGAGAAUGAUAAAUGUAGCAAGAAUUGAUAGUCAGUUGGAUGGGAGUGGAGGGAAGGAGGUGAUCUAUCAAGAGUGGUUCCCUGCUUGGAAGUCUGGGUGAAGGGAAGUGCCUGCAACUGAAGUAACACAUUAAUGAAGAGUAGCUAUUUUACGUGAGAUGAUGGAGAGUUCCAUUUUGAUUAAAAAAAGGAAACAGAGAGAGUUCCCACUGUGGCUCAAUAGGGUCAGUAAUGUCUCUGCAGCUCUGGGACGCAGGUUUGAUCCCCUGCCACAGUGGGUUAAGGAUCCAGCGUUGCAGUGUAGGUUGCAACUGCAGCUCAGAUCCCUGGCUCAGGAAAUCCAUAUGCUGCAGGGCAGCCAAAAAAGAAAAAGGAAACAGAGAAGUCAGUUAUACUCCAAUAAAAUUUAUUGGAAAAAAGGAGAUAGAGAAGAAUAGAGAUGUCAGAGGGCUUCACCUAGCCUUCAUUGUCCAAGAUGGUAGCUCCAAUAUGGUGGCCAUUCGCCACAUCUAAAAGGAAAUCCAUUCUUUGCUAGAUUUUAUUAAUGGGAAAGGCCCUGCCUCUUUCAACCAAAACCUUUUGUAGCUCAGCAGCUUCUCUAACUUAAUUGUAUGUGUGCAUUUAAUCACACACUCAUUAUCUCACUUAAUCUCUUACCCACUCUUUCACCCCAUUGCCAUCCAAGGAGGAGACUGGUGAUGCCACACCCAGAUUAUGAUGAACCCCAUAGAAGCUGGCUAUGUUCCACCUUGGUAAAUCCAGUCUGUCUCCAUUUUCAAUGAUAUGAGCUUUGUGUCUAGCCAUCCUAUUAUCUUGCGGUUCCUAUUAAACACAUAGCUUUCUUUGACUCCAAAAAUGAGAACUGCAUUUUAGUGGUGAGUGAUGUGACUACUAAGUACAUGGAUUAAAAAAAAAAAAAUGAAACGACUCUGGGAUUUUCCAGGAUAAGGAGUCGUUACAGACAUUGUGUUGUCUCAGAUGUCUUGGAGAUUAAAAAGGCCUAAAUCAGCUCCUGAGCAUUUUAUUAGUGAAUCUGUGUCAUUUAAAAAUCCUUCCCUAAAACUUUCCUACCCACCCUCCAACCCCCACUUGAAUGAAGAAGUAAUUAAGGAUGAGAUCAGAAUCUCCACUUCAUCUUGACCCAUUCCAGAUGGUGUAGUAGUCAUGGCUUUAUCAGUAAAGAGUAGAAGGGCAGGCCGGGGCUUUGCCAAGAAAAUAGUACUUGCAUUAAUUCAGUCAUUUAGAUUUGUGUCAAGACUCUCACUGUCUUUUAUCUAAUACUGUCCAUUGCUCUCUUCUAAUUCAAUCUGCUGAUGCAUUCAGGUGUGUGUACCCUGCACCCUGGAAUUGUUUCUGAAAGGUGCCUGUAUUGUCAGUCCUGUGUUGAAUUAUCAGGCUUUGAAGAUACAAGGAAAUGCUGUCCUUUCAAGAAAUCCUGGUAGAAAAUGCUUUAUAGUCAACCUUUGUUAACUAUAUUCAGCAAUUGUUCAUGAAUCACCUACUAUGUGCCAGAGUGAUGUUGGGUUCUAGAGAAUAGCCUUAUAUAAACCAUGCUCUUAAGAUGUCCAUGAUCUCAUAUUGGAAAGUCUAUGGUUCUCAUGUUGGGCACUAUUCAGAGUGUUCUUACAUAUUUAACUCACUUCAAUAUCACAAUAACACUGUGAAGUUGAUAUUGUCAUAAGCAACCCCAUGUUGCAGAUGAGGAAACAGGAAUAUAGAAUUUAGUGCCACAUCCCGUAUCAUACAGCUAAUAAAGGCUGAACUGGCAUUAGAACAAGGCUGUCCAUCUCCAGUCUUUGCUCCUAACCACUAGGCUUUACUUUCUCUUCUCCACCCCUCUAUGACUGCCAAUGGAGGACAAAAGGAAAACUCCCCUUGAAAUUAACUUAUACGGAGUUCCUGUUGUGCCCCAGCGAAAAUGAAUCCAACUAGGAACCAUGAGGUUGCAGAUUCGAUCCCUGGCCUUGCUCAGUGGUUUAGGGAAUUGGCCUUGCCAUGAGCUGUGGUGUAGGUCACAGACUCGGCUCAGAUCUGAUGUUGCUGAGGCUGUGGCGUAGGCUGGCAGCUACAGCUCCGAUUCGACCCCUAGCCUGGGAACCUCCACAUGCCAUAGGUG
rnacentral:lncRNA from 1 species